rnacentral:rRNA from 1 species
CCUACGGGUGGCUGCAGUGGGGAAUAUUGGGCAAUGGGCGCAAGCCUGACCCAGCAACGCCGCGUGAAGGAAGAAGGCUUUCGGGUUGUAAACUUCUUUUCUCAGGGACGAAGCAAGUGACGGUACCUGAGGAAUAAGCCACGGCUAACUACGUGCCAGCAGCCGCGGUAAUACGUAGGUGGCAAGCGUUAUCCGGAUUUAUUGGGUGUAAAGGGCGUGUAGGCGGGACUGCAAGUCAGAUGUGAAAACCAAGGGCUCAACCUGAAGCUUGCAGUUGAAACUGGAGUUCUUGAGUACUGGUGAGGUAGACGGAAUGCGUGGUGUAGCGGUGAAAUGCGUAGAUAUGAGGAAGAACACCAGUGGCGAAGGCAGUCUGCUGGGCAACAACUGACGCUGAGGCGCGAAAGCGUGGGGAGCAAACAGGAUUAGAUACCCGAGUAGUC